rnacentral:rRNA from 1 species
GACGAACCGUGCGAACGUUAUUCGGAAUCACUGGGCUUAAAGGGUGCGUAGGUGGCUCGCCAAGUGCUUUGUGAAAUCCCACGGCUCAACCGUGGAAGUGCCUUUGAUACUGCCGGCCUCGAGGGAGGUAGGGGCGUGCGGAACUUCCGGUGGAGCGGUGAAAUGCGUAGAUAUCGGAAGGAACACCGGUGGCGAAAGCGGCGCGCUGGACCUCUACUGACGCUGAGGCGCGAAAGCCAGGGGAGCAAACGGG